GUAGGUGGCAAGCGUUGUCCGGAAUUAUUGGGCGUAAAGCGCGCGCAGGCGGUUCUUUAAGUCUGAUGUGAAGGCCCACGGCUCAACCGUGGAGGGUCAUUGGAAACUGGAGAACUUGAGUACAGAAGAGGAAAGCGGAAUUCCACGUGUAGCGGUGAAAUGCGUAGAGAUGUGGUGGAACACCAGUGGCGAAGGCGGCUUUCUGGUCUGUAACUGACGCUGAGGCGCGAAAGCGUGGGGAGCAAACAGGAUUAGAUACCCUGGUAGUCCACGCCGUAAACGAUGAGUGCUAAGUGUUAGGGGGUUUCCGCCCCCCUUAGUGCUGCAGCUAACGCAUUAAGCACUCCGCCUGGGAGUACGGCCGCAAGGCUG
rnacentral:rRNA from 1 species